AGGUGACCUUCUGAGAAAGAGGAGGGUCAGGAGACAGGCAGGGCCGGCAGGGACGUCAGGAACAUUCCUAGAGGCGGGAGGACUGAUGAGUGGGCUGCAUGCAUGGGUUGGCAUCCCCUGCGCUACAGGGACAAAUAUUGGCAAGCAGAGUCCCAUAGGUGACCUCUGCCAGUUGCAGGGAAUCUGAAAAAACUGUGAAUUCAUGCCAAAAAGAUGGGGGAGGUUGGGAAUUGCCUCCCCGCCAUCCUCGUUGCACAGAGGACACUUGUCCCAUUGCUGGUUUACUGUUAUCAUUGUCGUCUUGCUAUCUUUUCUUUAUUUGUACUUAUUCUAAAAAGAUUGGAGGUGUCUAUGAGAAAAGAUCCAUCUAUUUAUACGUCUAUGCAUCAACCCCGCUACCCUUCCACUUAACAUGUAUCUACCACGAGGCACUGUGCUAGAUCUUGGGCCUGUAAAGAUGACGCAGUCCUGGCCCCAAAGUCCAGGCCCUUCACAACUCAGAUGGGGAGAUUGAUGUGUUAGCAAACAGUUGCCAUGUAGUGAGAUAAAGAUAACGAUAGAGAAGUAAAGGUCGUCCUGUGAGUCCCCAGGAGAACUUCCCUUACAACUUGAGCAUUUGCAAAGAAUUAGGGCUCAAAGAAAUGGGCAAAGGGAAGGGCCUCCUAGACUUUAGGGAACAGCAGAGCAAAGUUACUGAGGCACGAGGUACACCCUAAUGAGAGAGGGUGAUUUCCUUGUGUCUGGGACCUAAAGAGCUGUGAAGGGAAGAGACUGAGGCCAGUGAAUGAAUUGCUUGCAAGUUUGACCUUUAUUUCUUGGUGGGGAGCUGCUGAAGGUUUUGAAGCCAAGAAGUGGAAUUGGAAUCUGCCCCAGGCUUACUUUUAUGCUUACGUUGAUGUCUGCAAGACAGCUUUGGUUCAGCUGAUUUCAGCCAGGCUCACCCCGACUUUGCAGGGCGGCUGUGAAGCCCAGCCUUCAGGUUGGGUUCAGCAUCCAGCAGUGCCCUGGAAAAGUGGCUGUGAAGUUACUUGCAAGACUGCAUUGAACCCUGGCGAGACACUUCUCAGGGGAGCUGUCCAGCUACAUUCUCUGAGUGAAGAAGUGGAGAUCACCAUCAGCAGCCUGUGGAAAGGAUGCAAGUGGCUCUUCCAUAUGACCUUGACCUCUAUGACCUUGGCCAACUUAUUUAAAGCCUGAAUACCUUCAUCAAUAAAACUGGGAAAUAGUGAGACCAUUUCCUUGGGCUGAUGACUGUAUAAUGGUAGGCUCAAAGUCAGGAUACAAAGCAGGAUGUACAAUAAGAUGUCAUCAACCAGUGAGCCAAAGUCAGAGGUGGAGGAUGGAAAAAGACUCCAUCAUUCACAGUGUGGGGUUGAGCAUAAGAUUUUCAAAAUACGUUUGACUUUGUAUAUGUUUUCUAGAUUUUCCAUAAUGCCAACCUACAUUUUCCAUAAAGCAUCACCUUUGACAUUGUGAACCCCAAAUAUCUGAGACAGGUCUCAGUCAAUUUAGGAAGUUUAUUUUGCCAACAUUAAGGACGCAUGCCCAUGACACAACCUCAGGAGGUCCUGAUGACAUUUGCCCACGGUGGUCAGGGCACAGCUUGGUUUCAUACAUGUAUUAGACCGUUUUCAUGCUGCCGAUAAAGACAUACCCGAAUCUGGGCAAUUUAUAAAGAAAAAGAGGUUUAAUGGACUCACACAGUUCCACGUGGCUGGGGAGGCCUCAUAAUCAUGGUGGAAGGUGAAAGGCAUGUCAUACAUGGUGUCAGGCAAAGAGAGAAAUGAGAGCCAAGCCAAAAAGGAAACCCCUUCUAAAACCAUCCGAUCUCGUGAGACUUAUUCACUACCACGAGAACAGUAUGGGGGAAACCGGCCCCAUGAUUCAAUCAUCUCCCACUGGGUCCCUCCCACAACACUUGAGAACUAUGGGAGCUACAAUUCAAGAUGAGAUUUGGGUGGGGACACAACCAAACCAUAUCAUAUACAUUUUAGGGGAGACAUGAGACAUCAAUGAACAUGUGUAAGAUGUACAUCGGUUCUGUCCAGAAAGGCGGGACAACUCUAAGCAGGGAGGGGCUUCCAGGCCAUAGGUAGGUAAGAGACAAAUGGUUGCAUUCUUUUUUUUUUUUUUUGUAGAUGGAGUCUCGCUCUGUCGCCCAGGCUGGAGUGCAGUGGUGCAAUCUCGGCUUACUGCAAGCUCCGCCUCCUGGGUUCACGCCAUUCUCCUGCCUCAGCCUCCCAAGUAGCUGGGACUACAGGCGCCCGCCACCGUGCCUGGCUAAUUUUUUUGUAUUUUUUUGGUACGGACGGGGUUUCACCGUUUUAGCCAGGAUGGUCUUGAUCUCCUGACCUCAUGAUCCGCCCACCUUGGCCUCCCAAAGUGCUGGGAUUACAAGCAUGAGCCACGGAGCCCAGUGAAACUCUUUUGAGUUUCUGAUGAGCCUUUCCAAAGGAGGCAAUCAGAUAUGCAUUUAUCUCAGGGAGCAGAGGGAUGACUUUGAGUUCUGUCUGUCAUUUGUCCACAAGGAAAUUCCUUGUGAGGGAGGUAUGUAGCUUUUGAAUCUUAGUAGCCAUCUUUUUUUUUAGCAAUAGAAUGGGAGGCAGGUUUGCCCUAAGCAGUUCCCAGCUUGACUUUAUCCUUUGGCUUAGUGAUUUUGGGGUCCCAAUAUUUAUUUUCCUUUCACAAUGUUUAGAGGAUUUAAUGAAAAAUCAAACUUGUGUCUGUAGCGUCUUUCCCAGUCACCAGCCCCUC
ensembl:lincRNA